rnacentral:tRNA from 1 species
GCGCGAGUGGUGAAAUUGGCAGACACGCUAGAUUUAGGCUCUAGUACUUAUGGUGUGAGGGUUCGAGUCCCUCUUCGCGCACCA